rfam:Erinaceus europaeus unplaced genomic scaffold scaffold00124, whole genome shotgun sequence
GAAUGUGAGAUUAAUCUGGCUGCAACAUCUGUCACUCUAUUGAUUGCCAGGGUUGAUUUGGCUGAUCUGGCUGGCUAGGUGGGUGUCCCCUUGCUCCCUCACUUCUCCAUGUGCAUCCCUCCUGAAGCUGUGUCCCUCAGUCAAAGAGGACGGAUGGAUGGCCUUCCCCAGUAGAGGUAUACUAGUAGCUACACACCCCUGUUAGAACCUCCAAACAAACUCUCAAGAAUGAGAAGCAUUGUGUUGGGUUGCUGGGAAGUCAUGAUCCUUUUUUUUUUUUUUUUUUUUGCCUAGGAAAACAGGAAAAUAAA